rnacentral:lncRNA from 1 species
UCAGUCUCUCAAGAAGCCUUGCCCUUGCAAGUAGCACAGCUCCUGGAAGUCUCUCAUUUCCAUUUGAACUCAGCCUCCUCAUGCUGCUUAAAGUUUCUAUAUUGACAUUGUUACUUGAUACAAACUGACUAGUGCCUUGAUCAAGCCGAACUGGUGCACGUUCCUAGACAAUCAAAAGGCAACAGACUAAUGAGCAAAGAGACUUUGUGCUUAGAUCAACGGGCAUUGCUGCUCCUAGGCAAACCUUGCAUAUUGUCAAAAAUCAUCUUAAAAAGCAUUACGUUUUGGACAGUCAUGUGCCAAUCCAUGCCAAGCUACUUGCAAAAACAAUCAACAAAAUGGACAAGAAAUUUUCUCUUUUACCAAUCAACCAAAGCUUUUCUCUUCGGAAUGCUUUGACAUGAUCUCUUUCUUUCUUACACCUUUUUUAGUACUGCAGUAACAUUUUGCAUUAUCAUGUACAUCCUAGGUUGUUUAGAUAUUUUUCAUCAAUAUACUCAACAAUCCCAUUUCUUUAAUCUUUUUCUCCUUCUGGUUAGUCAUUCUUAAUAUCAUGAGAGGAAAAAAAGAAGAUAAAAGUAUUUUUCCGAAAAUAUUGUUGUUCAAAAGUAAACAUUUAAAUAAAAACAUUAGUAGAAAGUUGCCUGAAAGAAUUAAAAAGAUAAGAUGGGGGUUUAAGAUUUAGUUUUAUUAUUUUAUUGAAUUAAAAAAAAUUAUAUUUAUUAACACAAUAAAUCAAGGCAUGUUAAAUCAACUUCUAGAAACAAUCAAUUAAAAUAAUUGUAAGAAAGGUCUACCCCCUUCCUAGAAUUAAACACCAGUUCUUUUCUUUUUUUCCUAAAUCAGUUCCAGGGUAAGUCAUGCAUAAUAGCGUACAAGGAAAUGAGACACAACUGCAAUAAGAAAAGAUAGUAGAUACUCUGGCAAAUCAGUCACGAUAUGACUUUGGUUCUUUCUUAGAGGCGAGAUCCUCAUGAGCUCAGCACACUGAUUUUCUUCUCUAUUAAUGUGUUAGCCAGAUGAUGAAGAAAACUAAUUUUCUUCCUUCUGAAUGUCUUUCCUAAAGACCUGACAACCAAAGACAGGUUAUCUGUUCAUCCUUUCCCACAAUUUGGACACAGUGGGAAGAAAAGUUUUAGUACAAUUAAAAAACAACCCGAAUCCAGAGAGAUCUGAAUAUAAUGCAUAACCUCUUCUGUUUUAAUUUAAUUUUACCAACAGCAUGGACCCACUAAUUGAAAUUUACUUCCUAUUAAUUUUGUUAAUAUCUAAGUUGUCCUUAGUUAUGAUCCAUUCCUUAAACGUUUUGCAAAUUUAACUGAAAAUCAACCAUAAGUUGCCUUAGAUAUUGCCCAAGUCAAAACCGAUUAGGUAGUGCCAUCAAGUCUGCUGCUCCAUG